rnacentral:rRNA from 1 species
GGGGAAUUUUGGACAAUGGGCGCAAGCCUGAUCCAGCCAUGCCGCGUGCAGGAUGAAGGCCUUCGGGUUGUAAACUGCUUUUGUACGGAACGAAAAGGUGCCUUCUAAUAAAGGGCGCUCAUGACGGUACCGUAAGAAUAAGCACCGGCUAACUACGUGCCAGCAGCCGCGGUAAUACGUAGGGUGCGAGCGUUAAUCGGAAUUACUGGGCGUAAAGCGUGCGCAGGCGGUUUUGUAAGACAGAUGUGAAAUCCCCGGGCUUAACCUGGGAACUGCGUUUGUGACUGCAAGGCUGGAGUACGGCAGAGGGGGGUGGAAUUCCACGUGUAGCAGUGAAAUGCGUAGAGAUGUGGAGGAACACCGAUGGCGAAGGCAGCCCCCUGGGCCUGUACUGACGCUCAUGCACGAAAGCGUGGGGAGCAAACA